UACAGAGGGGGCUAGCGUUGUUCGGAAUUACUGGGCGUAAAGCGCACGUAGGCGGCUUUGCAAGUCAGAGGUGAAAGCCCGGGGCUCAACCCCGGAAUUGCCUUUGAGACUGCAUCGCUAGAAUUGUGGAGAGGUAAGUGGAAUUCCGAGUGUAGAGGUGAAAUUCGUAGAUAUUCGGAAGAACACCAGUGGCGAAGGCGACUUACUGGACACAUAUUGACGCUGAGGUGCGAAAGCGUGGGGAGCAAACAGG
rnacentral:rRNA from 1 species